UCUCUCUCUUCAUUUGUAAAUCAAGUUUACACAUCAAUAUUAUUAUCUUCCAAUCAUUGUGAAACCUAUAUUUAUUGUGGGGAAAUCUAGGUUUAAUUAAUGAAACUAGUGUUUUUCUAUAAUAUGGCAGAGUGCAAUUUGCAGCUCUCCCCCGAAAAAAGAGGGAUAAUUUUAUUGGAUCCAGCUCUUUAUUGAACACUGAGUCCUAUACGGACUCCAGGAAUGGAUGCUUUGUUGGUCAGCAAGGAGCUAUUUUCAAGCUUUUCUCACUCCACAACGCCAUUGAUUUUUCUACUUCUUGGCCCAUGUAACUGCGAGUCUAAGGCCUGUAGAAUCUUGCAUACAAGAGCAUGAUUUUUACCCCUUUUAUAAAAUAUUUAUGAAAUAAAGCCAAACUAUGAGCUUAUCUGAGGUUAUAUGAAUUAUUCAUGCAAAGCAUGUUAAUGUGCGUGUACUUAGACAAUGCUAUUGCAUACAUCU